UACGUAGGGUGCAAGCGUUGUCCGGAAUCACUGGGCGUAAAGCGCACGUAGGCGGUCUGUUAUGUCGGAUGUGAAAGCCCUUGGCUCAACUGAGGAAGUGCAUCCGAAACUGGCAGGCUAGAGUACGAAAGAGGAUCGCGGAAUUCCCGGUGUAGAGGUGAAAUUCGUAGAUAUCGGGAGGAACACCGAUGGCGAAGGCGAGAUCUCUGGGCCGUAACUGACGCUGAGGAGCGAAAGCAUGGGGAGCGAACAGG
rnacentral:rRNA from 1 species